CUAACCAAAACCUGAGAAAAGGACAUAACAAGUGAAAUGAAAGACAUAUGGAAUAUAAGGUUUCGAAGACAACUUGGUUCUGAAACCAUGGAAUUAGGGGUGUCAAUCCUGAGCCAGCACAGGUAGGCCCGACUGAGCCUGAUUCGCUUAAGGCUCGACUUGGACUGACCCGUUUAUUAAACGGGCAUUCACGGUGUAGUCUACUAGCCUAUCGGGCACCCGACCAAGCCCGACAGCAUAAGAGACUGGCUUGAGCCGAGCCCUUUAGCCCGGCUGACCUGACCCCCACAAAACUACCUAAAUACCUAUUUUACCACUACUAAUAAAAAUUAAUAGUAAAAGUCUAUAGACUAAAGAGUAAAAUCCAAGAUGGAAAAACCCUAAAGGGCUAAACUCACACUUUCUCUUUGGAGUUUGGUCGUGCCACCGUUGCCCUCUUCCUCGACCUCAAGCUUUCAGUCGAACUGUGUUGUAGGGAUCCUGAUGGUGAGAGCAUCUUCAUGGGAGAGUGAUUCAUGCAAUGAAGGCUACACUAACAGGGUAGUUCAGGUUUAUUUUUAUUUGUGUUCUUGGCUUGUGUUUUUAAUUUGGUUUUCUCUUUUUGUGUUCUCGACCAGAGCUGAAAUUCACAUAUAAGAUUAGGUAUGUCUUUGAAGCGACAUCACAGAACAUAAAAAAGAUCAAGGGACUUGGCCUGCCACGAUCAAGUUUGAUUCUUCAGAAAAAACUUGUGUGCGUGAUCCAUGGACUGUGAGAAGCAGUGAACCUGGAAUCUUUUACCUUCUUCUUCUUCUUCUUCUUCUUUGUUUCUAUUUUCAUUACUGCUAUAAGUCCCUUUUCUGUGAAGCAUCCAACACCUACAACAUCAAUAUUAUUGGUUGUUGUUUAUGGAGAGGAA